AUCAAUUUAGUGCAUGUAUUAGUUUGAUGUUGAUAGAAUUUUUGAUUCUGUAGAGUGAAUUUGGUUAUAAUAUUUAUGUAGGAAAAAGAUAUUUUUUUGCUACACCUUAUUUGUCUUAUUUCUUCUAUGCUUACCUUCUUACGGAAGGUAGAAGUGCCAAUCUUGUUAUGUCUACAGCCAAUCUUUUAAAUUGGUAAGAAGCUGAGUAUAGGUCUUAUGUCCACAUUACAAUCCUGACGGAGACCCUGCAGAGAAAGUGGAUGGUUUUAAUGAGUAAGCACCAACUCACUUUCAUCUCUCUCUCUCUAAAAGCUACCCCAGUUUACAGAGAUACGAGAAAAAUAAAUCUUGAUUUUGAAGAGUUCUAAAUUAUUGUAGUGUGAAUGACCAGGGAAUAGUAUAGAUCAAGACAGUGACCAGCUCUUGUGAGAAAUGUGUGCAGGGAAAACGUGGUGUCCUUUUGGGAAUGGUGUCAUUGAGUACCAACAAUGUGACUUACUACAGGAAUAGCCAGGAGGCUCAAAGGAAUGCUCCAAACCAUCAAGAAGCACAAAGAGUGACUCUUAAACUAUACAUCACAGAGGGACAGAAUGAGAAGAAGGAAAAGAUUAGCUGCUUUCCUUUGCCUGCAAGAGGAGUCCGGAUAAAGUGGAUGUUCUGCUUGACUUCUUUGCAACCCGUUGAUUAUAAACUUAGCCGGCGCUUCUGUUUGAUCUCUUCAACUCUCUUCAUCGCAUCAAUAGUUUUACUCCAUAGCUCUCCCUGGUAUUUCACAGGUUCAUUUCUACGUUUUUCAAAUUCAAAUGAGUUGUCCACCGUGAGCUCCUUGCCAGCUGCCUUCCGGAAGGCUUUAGUCCACCUGACCUUGCGUGGGUUCUGCUUCUUCCUGAAGCUUUUAUGACACUUGGAUUUGCAGAAUCGGAACACCUUGCAAUCACUGAGGACGAACAUCAAGCAGUGGCCAGGGUAGAUGGGCCGGAACAGAAAUAACAUUUCUCAGUCCUCAUGUUGACUCCACAUGGGAGCUACCUCCCAGGAACCGAACUUAAGAGGAAGUGAUCUAUAUGUCCUUCUUUAUCUGCUAUCUUCUUAUCUACCUUCUAUCUGUCUACUCAAGCCCCCGUACAAACUGAUUUUGUUUUAGUAGAAUCAGCUUAGAUUUCCUCUUAUCACUUGGUGAGCCAAUAAACAUGAUUCAUACAUAUAGAAAAGAAAAUAG
rnacentral:lncRNA from 1 species